rnacentral:rRNA from 1 species
UACGUAGGGUGCUAGCGUUGUUCGGAAUCAUUGGGCGUAAAGCGCGUGUAGGCGGUUUGUUAAGUCGAGUGUGAAAUCCCUGGGCUCAACCGAGGAAGUGCAUUCGAAACUAACUGGCUAGAAGACGGUAGAGGAAGGUGGAAUUCCAAGUGUAGAGGUGAAAUUCGUAGAUAUUUGGAGGAAUACCGGUGGCGAAGGCGGCCUUCUGGACCGAUCUUGACGCUGAGACGCGAAAGCGUGGGGAGCAAACAGG